rnacentral:tRNA from 1 species
GGGAGAAUAUUCCGUAGAGGUAGCGGGGCAGACUGUAAAUCUGUUGCUUAACAGUUCGGGUGGUUCGACUCCAUCUUCUCCCA